UACGAAGGGGGCUAGCGUUGCUCGGAAUCACUGGGCGUAAAGGGUGCGUAGGCGGGCCUUUAAGUCAGGGGUGAAAUCCUGGAGCUCAACUCCAGAACUGCCUUUGAUACUGAAGGUCUUGAGUCCGGGAGAGGUGAGUGGAACUGCGAGUGUAGAGGUGAAAUUCGUAGAUAUUCGCAAGAACACCAGUGGCGAAGGCGGCUCACUGGCCCGGUACUGACGCUGAGGCACGAAAGCGUGGGGAGCAAACAGG
rnacentral:rRNA from 1 species